rnacentral:tRNA from 1 species
AGAAAAGUAAGCUAAAUAAAAGCUAAUGGGUUCAUACCCCAUUUAUAGAGGUAUCUCUCUUCUCUA